CCCCAGACUCCUACGGGAGGCAGCAGUGGGGAAUAUUGCACAAUGGGGGAAACCCUGAUGCAGCGACGCCGCGUGAGCGAUGGAGUAUUUCGGUAUGUAAAGCUCUAUCAGCAGGGAAGAAAAUGACGGUACCUGACUAAGAAGCCCCGGCUAACUACGUGCCAGCAGCCGCGGUAAUACGUAGGGGGCAAGCGUUAUCCGGAUUUACUGGGUGUAAAGGGAGCGUAGACGGCAAUGCAAGCCAGAUGUGAAAGCCCGGGGCUCAACCCCGGGACUGCAUUUGGAACUGUGUAGCUGGAGUGUCGGAGAGGCAGGCGGAAUUCCUAGUGUAGCGGUGAAAUGCGUAGAUAUUAGGAGGAACACCAGUGGCGAAGGCGGCCUGCUGGACGAUGACUGACGUUGAGGCUCGAAAGCGUGGGGAGCAAACAGGAUUAGAUACCCCAGUA
rnacentral:rRNA from 1 species